GACGAACGCUGGCGGCGUGCUUAACACAUGCAAGUCGAACGGAAAGGCCCUGCUUUUGUGGGGUGCUCGAGUGGCGAACGGGUGAGUAACACGUGAGUAACCUGCCCUUGACUUUGGGAUAACUUCAGGAAACUGGGGCUAAUACCGGAUAGGAGCUCCUGCUGCAUGGUGGGGGUUGGAAAGUUUCGGCGGUUGGGGAUGGACUCGCGGCUUAUCAGGUUGUUGGUGGGGUAGUGGCUUACCAAGGCUUUGACGGGUAGCCGGCCUGGGAGGGUGACCGGCCACAUUGGGACUGAGAUACGGCCCAGACUCCUAAGGGAGGCAGCAGUGGGGAAUAUUGCACAAUGGGCGGAAGCCUGAUGCAGCAACGCCGCGUGCGGGAUGACGGCCUUCGGGUUGUAAACCGCUUUCGCCUGUGACGAAGCGUGAGUGACGGUAAUGGGUAAAGAAGCACCGGCUAACUACGUG
rnacentral:rRNA from 1 species